rnacentral:rRNA from 1 species
GACGAACGCUGGCGGCGUGCCUAAUACAUGCAAGUAGAACGCUGAAGAGAGGAGCUUGCUCUUCUUGGAUGAGUUGCGAACGGGUGAGUAACGCGUAGGUAACCUGCCUUGUAGCGGGGGAUAACUAUUGGAAACGAUAGCUAAUACCGCAUAACAAUGGAUGACACAUGUCAUUUAUUUGAAAGGGGCAAUUGCUCCACUACAAGAUGGACCUGCGUUGUAUUAGCUAGUAGGUGAGGUAAUGGCUCACCUAGGCGACGAUACAUAGCCGACCUGAGAGGGUGAUCGGCCACACUGGGACUGAGACACGGCCCAGACUCCUACGGGAGGCAGCAGUAGGGAAUCUUCGGCAAUGGGGGCAACCCUGACCGAGCAACGCCGCGUGAGUGAAGAAGGUUUACGGAUCGUAAAGCUCUGUUGUAAGUCAAGAACGGGUGUGAGAGUGGAAGGUUCACACUGUGACGGUAGCUUACCAGAAAGGGACGGCUAACUACGUG